GGGGUUGUGGCUCAGUGGUAGAGCACUUGCCUUGCAUGCUUGGCACUGGGUUCCAUCCUCCUCAGCACCA
rnacentral:tRNA from 1 species